rnacentral:tmRNA from 1 species
GGGGGCGACAUGGCUUCGACGUGGAUGUUGAAACCCGAGGUGCAUGCCGAGCUGCAAUCUGCUCGUAAAACGACUGCAAAACUAAGCUAGUUGCAAACGAUAACAACUACGCCCUAGCAGCUUAAACCCUGCUAGUGUCCGCCCGGUAAGUGCUUAUGCUUCUGGAUACGGGCAUCGACUCACAUAAGCUCGUGGUGAUUCAGGUCUCUGGUCGAUCCAUUAAAACUUAGUGAGAAUAAGUUCUGGUCUUCCCUGCCCUUCGGGUAGCCAGCGCCGACAAUUAAAGAACGGGCUAAGCAUGUAGAGCUGACGGCGGAAGAUUUGCGGACGCGGGUUCAAUUCCCGCCGCCUCCACCA